UACGUAGGGUGCAAGCGUUGUCCGGAAUUAUUGGGCGUAAAGAGCUCGUAGGCGGUUUGUCGCGUCGAAUGUGAAAACCCGGGGGCUCAACCCCCGGGCCUGCAUUCGAUACGGGCAGACUAGAGUUCGGUAGGGGAGUCUGGAAUUCCUGGUGUAGCGGUGAAAUGCGCAGAUAUCAGGAGGAACACCGGUGGCGAAGGCGGGACUCUGGGCCGAUACUGACGCUGAGGAGCGAAAGCGUGGGGGAGCAAACAGG
rnacentral:rRNA from 1 species